rnacentral:snRNA from 1 species
AUCGCUUCUCAGCCUUUUGGCUAAGAUCAAGUGUAGUUCUCCGUGCCAGCAUUAUCCAUUUUUAUGAAAAGGGGCAAACAUCCACUUUAAAAGGGAAUGGUUAAGUAAAUUUUGGUAUACCCAUUUGAUGCAGUGUUAGCCACUGGAGGUGGAGAAAAAAACCCCAAACCAACAAGUAGUAUGUUCAUUUAGAUCAUUUCUACUUAAAAUAU